rnacentral:rRNA from 1 species
CCUACGGGUGGCAGCAGUGGGGAAUAUUGCGCAAUGGGCGAAAGCCUGACGCAGCGACGCCGCGUGAGGGAUGAAGGUCUUCGGAUCGGAAACCUCUGUCAGCAGGGAAGAACGGUCACUGUGCUAAUUAGCAGUGAAUUGACGGUACCUGCAAAGGACGCACCGGCUAACUCCGUGCCCGCAGCUGCGGUAAUACGGAGGGUGCGAGCGUUAAUCGGAUUUACUGGGAGUAAAGCGCUCGUAGGCGGUAGUUCAAGUCAAAGGUGAAAUCCCCGCGCUCAACGUCGGCACUGCCUUUGAAACUGGCAAACUGGAGUGUAUGAGAGGAUGGUGGAAUGCCAGGUGUAGGAGUGAAAUCCGUAGAUAUC